AAAUUGAUGUGUUUGAAAAUUAUCAAUAUUCCUUUAAUAUAUAUUGCAAAUUUUUCAAAAAAUAAAUUGUUCAUUUUAUAAUGAAAAUCAAUAAAACUAAAACAGUCAUAGUGGUAUCUUCCAUAAUAACAGAUUGGCAUUUUGCAGUGUUUUGUACUUUUAGUUUCUACAAUCAUAAUAGUAUAUAUAUAAAUAUUAAAUAAUGUAUUGUUUGCUUUUGUAUGUAUAAAUUUACUUAUUUUGGAUCAACUUUUACUUGAUAUAUUGCAAAGAAAUUUGCCAACAUUUACCCCCAGCAUUAAAUUACUAUUUGUUUACAUGUUUUACUUUAGUUUCUUAGCGUAGGUUAGACCGCAUUCAUCCUUAUCCGGAGACUGACGGAAAGGGCCGAAAAGUCGGCGGCAUGAAAUACCCAAAUAUAGCAAUAUUUAUUUUUGUUUGUAUAAAAUAUAGAUUAUAAUGAGAAAUAAAUAAAUAUUUAUAAAAUAAUAUGACUUAGCCUGCUAUAACUUUCAUUCAUUCUGUUUAAAUGGGCAGUUAAUUAAGAUGUUGUAAGAAAAUAAAGUUGUGACAUUUGCUUAUCUACUAUAUAGGUUAAUUCUUUAUGAAUGUACUUGCAAUUUUAAAUCAAGAUAUGAUAUUUGUUGUCUACACUUAUAUAUUUUUAAGGUGUAAUUUUGUUGAAAUUUCAUAUCAUAAGUUCAUAUACAAGUGUCCAUGUUAUUUAAAAAAAAAAUAGCUUUACAUACAUAUACUGUACAUAUCUUGGUUCAAAACACAAUGAUACUGAUAGGAAAAAUGUAUAUUUGGGUAUGUUUGAUUAUAUCUUAGUGAAAGUGUAUAUUGUAUUCAUGAUUAAAACAGUACUUUUUUAGUAUAAAACAUUUAUUUUUAGUAUAAUUGGGCAAUAUUUGGGUAUAUUUAGGCAAUAUUUGGGCAAUAUUUGGGUAUUUCGUGCUGCCCCCGAAAAGUUGGGAUUGAUACAUAUUUAUCAUUGAAUUACGGACAGGGCGGACCGUGAGACAGGGCGGACCGUACCAAGGCGGACCAUAUGUUUGGACAGGGCAGACCAUAUUUUGGAACAGGGCGGCCUGUGACUCGAGACGAGUAGGACCGUGAUUUAUUAAACAAGCGUCUACUGAUAGCAUGUGAUGUAAACAAAUAGCCGGUUACUACAUACGUUUUAUACCCGUGUCAAUGGUCCACUUACUUCCUUGUCGCAAAACGAGAGAAUAUGGCUGUGAUUAUGAUAAAAUCUGUGCUUUUAUUUGUCUUUAUCGCUGCAAAUGUAGUUACUGGGAAAAGAGUUUACAACAUGAAGAUGGGAAAGGAUCUGAUAAAUUUUUAUUGGGAGAAUUGUAAUAAAA